GGCUGUUUAGUUUAAAUUAAAACUUAUGUUUUGAAAACAUACAAUAGAAUAGGCAUGUCUAACAGUCG
rnacentral:tRNA from 1 species